GGAUGUGAGGGCAAUCUGGCUGCAACGUCUGUCACCCCAUUGAUCAUGAGGGUUGAUUCAACUGAUCUGGCUGGCUAGGCAGGUGUGCCCUUCCUCUCUCAUCUCUCCAUGUGUGUCCCUCCUGAAGCUGCACACUCAAAGAGGAUGGCCUUGCCCCAAUAGAGACGGGCUUGUCUUCCCCUGAGGAUAUAGGAGUAACUGCACUCUUCUGCUAGAACCUCUUAUCCAGCUCUCAAGAUAUAUGUAUAGGUUCAGUAAAUAUUUUCCUGAGUUAACACACAAUACAAUUGCUUG
rnacentral:snRNA from 1 species